AGGAACCGCAAGCAACCGCGAUUGCUUCAGUAACGGCGAGUGAAUGGGCAACACAAUCUCAGCCUGAAGUGGAUCCCUGACUGCACUGCUGAGGCAGUUGCGUCCGGCUCUCUUGGGUUCAACACAUGCUGUGGGCUGUGGAGCAGGUGGCAGUGUUCAGGCUUGGUCAUGCACCAGGAAUGGCCCUGGAAAGGCCUACCAGAGUGGGAUACUGUCCUUUACAAUCACCUGUGUGUGUGGCCAGCUUGGACGUUGCUGCUUGCAUCCUGGAGUAGAGUGGCUUGGGACUGCAGUUUGAAGUGCAAGGUAUAUCCCUUGCAAGGCAGCAUACUGACAUGGGACCGAUAGAGCACAAGUAGAGUGAUCGAAGGAUGCAAAGGACUCUGCAAAGAGGGUUAAAAGCCCCUGAAGCCUCAGCAGGUACGGCGGUGAGUGGUGCUGUGGUUCACAGCCCUGUGUUGCCUCAUGCCCUGUGGAUCAGCUGGGGUCAGGUCACUGCUGUGGUCAACAGUCAGUGUGUCCUGCCACAGUGGGUCUCAUGGGUGUUGUGGGGUAGCCAGUGGCUGCUGUCCUCUGACCUUGGUUGUUGGGUCACCCCAGUGGUGUAUCCACUCCAGGUCAAGACAGGAUCUGUGAUGCAUGCCAGGUGCCCUUGGGCCAGCCCAGCGCUGGUUACUGAGCUCUGUCCUCCAGGAUGGGAUGCAAUCGUGACAGUGUGUGGUGGCAGUAUGCCUGCCUGGGCCUGAGGUAUCCAGAGUCAACUCCAAGUGAGGUUGCAGAUCAACACAGUGUGCAUGGCCAAGUGGGUCCUCAGUUGAGGCUGGCCACCACAAAGGAGUGUGUGCAACACAAGCAGUGCUGAUGAUCACCCUGGUGUGUCUCCGGACAUGCCAGUGGCUGUGCUUGGUGCUGGUCUGGGCUGGUGGAUGCAUGGUGGCUGCACCAUUCUGAUGGUGGCUCUGUGUGUCUGCUGGUCCUCCAGACCUUGCAUGGUCAGAAGGCAGCUGAGCCUGGUACAAGCAGUGCCACUCUCUGCCCGUCUUGAAACACGGACCAAGGAGUCUAUGGAGCUUGCAUGUUGGCUGGUCUUCUGCCAAACCGGAGUGCAGGGUGAAGGCAAGUCAACCCCAGAUGAGUAGCUGCAUGGGGCACCAGUCCCAAAGUCCAGUGGACAGGGUUCUGAGUGAUUGCAAGGUCCAUGGGACCCGAAAGGUGGUGAACUAUACCGUGCUAUGAUGAAGCCGUGGGAAACUGCGGUGGAGGUCAGUCGCUGUUCUGACGUGCAAAUUGUGUAGCCUGAGUGCGGCAUAGGGGUGAAAGGCCAAUCGAGCCACCUAGUAGC
rnacentral:rRNA from 1 species